UAUAAAAAAGACUAAUGCAGAAAUACAAAUGCUUAGCACUAAAAGUUUAAAAAUUUUUCUUACACUUACUACUUUUACAUUAAUCAUGAUUUUCUCCUUUGCUCUAUAUAAAUAUAUAUUCAAAAAAAUAUAAAUUAUGAUUACAAAGUCUUGAAUAAAAAAACUUUUUAAUAUAUCAUAUAAACGAGGAGGGGUAUGAUGGUAGGACUAAAAUUAAAUUUAGAAAAUUCAAAAAUUGAAAUGGAAGAAAUAGUAGAAUAUAGCAAGGAAGUAAAAAAGAUUCAUAAAGAAUUACAUGACAAAAAAGACGAUGAAGAUGAGUUCCUAGGGUGGCUUGAACUUCCAAGCAAAUAUAAUAAAAAAGAAUUCAAGAAGAUAAAAGAAUGUGCUAAAAAAAUACAAAAAGAUUCAGACAUAUUGUUAGUAAUAGGAAUAGGCGGGUCGUAUUUGGGAGCAAGAGCAGUAAUAGAAGCAUUAACAAAUACCUUCUAUAACAUGCAAGAAAAAGGUGUAAGAACAACUCCACAAAUAAUAUAUGUAGGAAACAAUUUGAGCCCAAGCUAUAUAAAUGAUGUUAUUGAUUUAUUAUCUGGAAAAGACUUCUCAAUAAAUGUAAUAUCAAAAUCUGGAACAACCACAGAACCUGCAAUCGCAUUUAGAAUAUUUAGAGAGUUAAUUGAAUCAAAAUAUGGUUUAGAAGAAGCGAGAAAAAGAAUAUAUGUUACAACUGACAAAAAAGAAGGAGCUUUGAAAAAGCUUGCCACAAAGGAAAAAUACGAAACAUUUGUUAUUCCAGACAAUAUAGGUGGAAGAUACUCGGUUCUAACACCGGUGGGACUUUUACCAAUAGCAGUAGCUGGAAUAGAUAUAGACGAACUUAUGAAAGGUGCAAGAUUUGCACAGGACAAAUACAAUGACAAUAACAUAGAAUAUAAUGAAGCAUAUCAAUAUGCAGUUGCAAGAAACUUGCUAUAUAAAGAUGAAAAAAAUAUCGAGAUACUAGCAAAUUAUGAACCUAAAAUGCACUAUGUAACAGAAUGGUGGAAGCAAUUAUAUGGUGAGAGCGAAGGAAAAGAUAAAAAAGGAAUUUUCCCUUCGGGAGCAGACUUUACCACGGAUUUACACUCAUUGGGACAAUACAUCCAAGAGGGCAGAAGAAAUUUAUUUGAAACAGUUAUAAGAAUAGAAAGACCAUAUAGCGAUAUCUAUAUAAAUUCUGAUGAGGAUGAUUUAGAUGGAUUAAACUAUUUGAUGGGCAAAUCAUUAGACUAUGUGAAUAAAAAAGCGAUAGAGGGAACAAUAGAAGCACAUGUUUCAGGAGAUGUUCCUAAUAUAAUGAUUGUGAUGCAAGAGUUGAGUGAGGAAACAAUAGGACAGCUAAUAUACUUUUUUGAGCUUGCAUGUGCAAUGUCUGGCAAAAUAUUAGGAGUAAAUCCAUUUAACCAACCAGGAGUAGAAGAAUAUAAGAAAAAUAUGUUUAGACUAUUAAAUAAACCUGGAUACGAAGAGAAAUAAAAGAAUAAUUUACACAUAGGUUGACAUUUUUUUGAAAGUAAUACGUACAUAUAUUUAUGUAGUACCAAGAGUACUAUAAAUAUAUGAAUUGAUAAUAAAAUUUGACUGUGCUAAUAUUAUAUUAAUAAAAAACAAAAGAAUUUUGAAAGGAUUUGAUAAUAUGGAAGAAAAGAAAAUAGAAGAACUAAAUGGAUUUAAAGAUUUAAGAAUUGUUGAUAACUUUUAUCAGACAUCAAGCUUCUUUCCAAUGCCAACAACAGAGAUUGGAACUUUGAGUGAAUCAGGACAAACAAACUUGGGGUCAUAUUCACUAUGCUUCCCAUAUUACAUUGCUGGUAAGGAUUAUUAUGCAAUGGUGCUAUGUUGUAGAAAUAGUUCAAACACAGCAAAGAAUAUUUUAAGAACACCCGGUGAAAUUGAAAUACCAGUGAAGAUGCUGGUUACCUGCGCCAGGACGGAAAGACCCCAUGGAGCUUUACUCCAGCUUGAUACUGGGAUUCGGUAUUGCAUGUACAGGAUAGGUGGGAGGCUGCGAAGUGAUGACGCCAGUUGUCACGGAGCCGAUGUUGGGAUACCACCCCUGCAGUACUGGGUUUCUAACCUGCGGCCGUAACCCGGCCGGGGGACAAUGUCUGGUGGGGAGUUUGACUGGGGCGGUCGCCUCCGAAAGAGUAUCGGAGGCGCUCAAAGGUUCCCUCAGAAUGGUUGGAAACCAUUCGAAGAGUGCAAAGGCAGAAGGGAGCUUGACUGCGACACCGACGGGUGGAGCAGGUACGAAAGUAGGACUUAGUGAUCCGGUGGUAUGAAAGUGGGAUUGCCAUCGCUCAACGGAUAAAAGCUACCCUGGGGAUAACAGGCUUAUCACUCCCAAGAGUUCACAUCGACGGAGUGGUUUGGCACCUCGAUGUCGGCUCAUCGCAUCCUGGGGCUGUAGUAGGUCCCAAGGGUUGGGCUGUUCGCCCAUUAAAGCGGUACGCGAGCUGGGUUCAGAACGUCGUGAGACAGUUCGGUCCCUAUCCGGCGUGGGCGUAGGAUAUCUGAGAGGAGCUGUCCUUAGUACGAGAGGACCGGGAUGGACGGACCACUGGUGUAUCUGUUGUCGACCAACGGCAUGGCAGAGUAGCCAAGUCUGGAAGGGAUAAACGCUGAAGGCAUCUAAGCGUGAAGCCCCCCUCAAGAUGAGAUAUCCCAUAACGUCAAGUUAGUAAGACCCCUUGAAGACGACGAGGUAGAUAGGGCAGAGGUGGAAGUGUGGUAACACAUGGAGCUGACUGUUACUAAUAGGUCGAGGGCUUAAUCU
rnacentral:rRNA from 1 species